UAGGGGAAUUUUGGACAAUGGGCGCAAGCCUGAUCCAGCAAUGCCGCGUGCAGGAAGAAGGCCUUCGGGUUGUAAACUGCUUUUGUACGGAGCGAAACGGUUCGGGUUAAUACCCUGGGCUAAUGACGGUACCGUAAGAAUAAGCACCGGCUAACUACGUGCCAGCAGCCGCGGUAAUACGUAGGGUGCAAGCGUUAAUCGGAAUUACUGGGCGUAAAGCGUGCGCAGGCGGUUUUGUAAGACAGGCGUGAAAUCCCCGGGCUCAACCUGGGAAUGGCGCUUGUGACUGCAAAGCUGGAGUGCGGCAGAGGGGGAUGGAAUUCCGCGUGUAGCAGUGAAAUGCGUAGAUAUGCGGAGGAACACCGAUGGCGAAGGCAAUCCCCUGGGCCUGCACUGACGCUCAUGCACGAAAGCGUGGGGAGCAAACAGG
rnacentral:rRNA from 1 species